CAUAAGCCAAUGGCAGGCUGCAGUUCUGUUUGGCAGUUCCUGGUUUUGGAUGUGGGAUUCAAGCAUUGCAAUGUAGGAAAGCCAUGGCAGCCUUCUGGUGGGUCAUUACACACGGAUAGUGACACAUUGGUGGGACGACUUGCUCUUCAAUAUACACCCAGGAGGGACCAUCAAUCAGGUGCAGGCUGGAUCUGUGUGAGGACCUGUUCCCCGUUUCUCACAAGGUCACCCUGCACCGUUCACAGGCAGACCCGUGUACUGUAUGUUUACAAUUGCAUGACUCAGGAUCGAUUACAGAAACCUAAAUCUUUGAGGAUGGUUAUCUUUCACUGUAAACUGUUCAGAUUGAGGAUUUUAUCAAUAUUUCUAUGUAAGAUAAAUAUAUGUAAAUAAAUACAUAUUAUAUAUAUUAUAA